UAUUCCUCAAAUCGCUUUAUUUUGAGAGUUAUGUCAUUUUUAAUAGUUUGUUAUGAACGACGAAUAGCAUUGCGCGUUCUUACGAACCGGCGAAUAUAGCUAUUCGACGCAAUUCUGACCGAUGUUUAUUGCAGCGCGGUCUUACGAACCGGCGAAUAUCGUCACACGAUCAAAGUCUAGCUUCUUCUUCUGUUUCUGAAAGAGGCUGACGAUGGAAGGGAGCAGAGAUCGCAGUGCCCAUUCGGACAAGGAUGAGAGUACACAUGCUGUCAGCAUGGCGGACCUAAAAUUCUGGAGGGCAGCAGAUGAAGUGGCCUGACGGCAUAUGGCGAGGCACAUUUGUGAUGAUUGAGAAAGAGCAGGAGCCCAUGGAUGAAGACAGUGACAGUGGGGGGAUGAGCCCCGGUGGUUUCUCAGGCAGAACUUGUGGACUUCUACACAAAUCUCCCCCAUAGCUGAGUAAUCUGAUUGGUAGGCCUAAUGGUCACAUGACUGAUGGCUAAUUGGCACCUUUUUUUGAUUAUUUGUCUUUAUGCUAACAUUUUUAUUUUGUGUUUCAGGAAGCAGGGAUGGUCUACUUUAUUGUGUAAUGAUUGACAUGUAAGUAUAUAAAGAAUUGUUAAUUAGCAUCAACGUUUUAGGUUUGAUGGACCUACUUUAAUAGCCCCUGAGUCUUGAAGUCUUGGACUUUUUAUUACCAAAGAUGU